rnacentral:rRNA from 1 species
UACAGAGGUCCCGAGCGUUGUUCGGAUUCAUUGGGCGUAAAGGGUGCGUAGGCGGCUUUCUAAGUCUGAUGUGAAAUCCCGGGGCUCAACCCUGGAACUGCAUUGGAUACUGGGAGGCUAGAGUACUGGAGAGGAAACUGGAAUUUACGGUGUAGCAGUGAAAUGCGUAGAUAUCGUAAGGAAGACCAGUGGCGAAGGCGAGUUCCUGGACAGUUACUGACGCUGAGGCACGAAGGCCAGGGGAGCAAACGGG